UACGGGGGGGGCAAGCGUUGUUCGGAAUUACUGGGCGUAAAGGGCUCGUAGGCGGCCAACUAAGUCGGAUGUGAAAUCCCCAGGCUUAACCUGGGAACUGCAUCCGAUACUGGAUGGCUUGAAUCCGGGAGAGGGAUGCAGAAUUCCAGGUGUAGCGGUGAAAUGCGUAGAUAUCUGGAGGAAUACCGGUGGCGAAGGCGGCAUCCUGGACCAAUACUGACGCUCAGGUGCGAAAGCGUGGGGAGCAAACAGG
rnacentral:rRNA from 1 species